GUGAUGUUGGAAUGUCCUCAGUGUGUCUCUGUUCCUAACGAAGGGGAAAAGUUUGGCUGAAAUUGUGUUUUUAUGUUUCCCACAAGACCAGAAAGGGUAUAUCCGGAAAGCUGGCCUUGGUUCCUGUUGGAAAGGAGCAGGAGAGAGGGGAAACAGACGGACUGGGGGGAGGAAAGGCACAUCGGAGUGAGGGGAGCAAAACAGUUCUACUCUCCCUUGGGGGGAUCGUAGCACUAUUCCACCAACCAUAGUGACAGCGUUUUAUUUAUCUCCGCCGCCCAUCUGUGCAGCCGGUCUCAAAUUCUCCCUGAGAAAGGUCUUUUGGAUUAUCAGCGCCGCCAUUUUAAUACAACUGCUGCAUCGUAGAGUGGGCGCCGAGGGCGGCGGGAGUCUGUCAGGCGUGAAGAGUCCAUCUUCCCCGUACUUGAAAUGGGUUCAUCCAGAGUACACCUGCUGUAAUAGGGACAUUCCAAAAGCUGUGGAGAGUGAAUUACCCGAAUGACAAAAACAUUCUCCCUUUUCUCAACGUCCUUCUGCUGCUGCCCGCGUUUGGGGUUAUUUUGGAUCUCAAAUUCAGAAAUUAUUGAGCUGAAGAAGUUAGAAGUGUUACACCUAAACAGAUUGGGGUAUUUGUGUUAUGGGGCAUAUUUUGGGUUAGAGGGAUGAAGCAGGAUGUGACACCCGCUCUGUUUGGGAGCAGCGAGAGGCAGGGGUCGAACAGCGCCGUGUCGUGGCGGCUGCCGCGCGUCGACACGCUGACCUCCCGGUGACUCCUCCGUUGAGAGAGCCCAAAGUGAGCACGGGUGGGGCUGGCAUGGAGAGUGGGUUGCCAUGACAACACCUGCAGUGUACCCGCGCGGUCGUUUAUUUACCACUCAGGGGGCUGGCUAAUGGCGGCAUUCCUGAUAGGCCCAUCGCUCACGGUGCCCGAGCGGAGGACAGACUGACAGCUCCCCGAGCCGAGAACGAGGGGAAGGUGAAUCGAGGUUGGCCAGACUCACCAGAUGCUCUGCAAGUCUCUGCAGCAAGCCCAUGAUGUAUAAUCUACCUCACUUCUUGCACAGGUACAGAGAAACUGGUCAGAGUAGAUGGGAGGAUGGAUACAGCUAAACAGGCCAGUCCAAGAAGAACACCUGUUAGUGGCUGCAAAACCUUUGAGACUAGAGUGUAGAUUCAUCUUCCAACAUGGCAGGAACACUAAACAUCCAAGAAUAGUGUAGAUCAAAGCAUAUUCAUGGCUCAGUUAUUGUCCUGAUGUAAAUCCAAUUGAGAAUCUGUGACAAGACUUGAAAUUUGUUGUUCACAUAUGCUCUCCUUUCAAUCUGACUGGGCUGGGCUGGGCAAUACAAUUCGUGAAUAAAAUUUGAGGUAACAUUUUUGAAAGCCACACUUUUCUUGCACACUGUGUGUUGGUCUAUCACAUAAAACACCCCAAAUAAAUUAAAGUCUGUGGUUGCAAAAAGCUAAAGGAGUGAAAAUAUUUUUGCAAAGCACUAUGAAAAGAUUAUUGAUGUACUUCAGCCAUUGCAAGGAGCUGAUAACCACGUACAGGACUGGAAGGUUAUAGUAAAGAAACUAGUCAAAGGGAAAAAAUUA